rnacentral:rRNA from 1 species
AGCGAACGCUGGCGGCAGGCCUAACACAUGCAAGUCGAACGAACCUUUCGGGGUUAGUGGCGGACGGGUGCGUAACACGUGGGAACGUGCCUUUAGGUUCGGAAUAACUCAGGGAAACUUGUGCUAAUACCGAAUGUGCCCUUCGGGGGAAAGAUUUAUCGCCUUUAGAGCGGCCCGCGUCUGAUUAGCUAGUUGGUUGAGGUAAUGGCUCACCAAGGCGACGAUCAGUAGCUGGUCUGAGAGGAUGAUCAGCCACAUUGGGACUGAGACACGGCCCAAACUCCUACGGGAGGCAGCAGUGGGGAAUCUUGCGCAAUGGGCGAAAGCCUGACGCAGCCAUGACGCGUGAAUGAUGAAGGUCUUAGGAUUGUAAAAUUCUUUCACCGGGGACGAUAAUGACGGUACCCGGAGAAGAAGCCCCGGCUAACUUCGUG